GAAUAUAAUUAAUAUUGUAUUGAUCAAUUCAUCAAUUUAUCAUCAAUUCGUGAUAAAAGACAAAACAGUCUCAAAUUUAUUUGUGGGCAAAGGUGCAAAAAUACCCCUAAUAUUUAUACGGAUGUCCCACUUUCACCCUAAACUAAUUUUUUUUUUCCAAAAGUACCCUUAACGUUACAAAAUUCAGCCCAAUUAUGCCCCUCCCGUUAACAGACUUGCCACCGAGGCAAACGGAGCAGACACGUGGACAAAAUUUGCUGACGGAGCAAAAAUAAAUUAUUUUUUUUCUUUCUUCUCUCUCUUUCCUCUUCCAUUCUUCUCCCUUUUUCUCUCUCUCUUUGUUCUUUCUUCUUCCUCUGUUCUUCACCAAUCUCCAGCACCAGCAUAUGCAUAGUAGCAACAAACAGUCAUCGAACCACCAUGAACGCCGGUAGUUCACAGCAUAAACAUCACAGAAUUCGGCCAAUUAAACCAAAAAAAAUCGGCAGUAGCCCAGAAAAAUAAAUGCCAGAAGAUUCCAACCCCAUCGGCAAAACAGAUCUGGGUACUCUCAACAAACAGAGCAGUAAAAGACCCAAGAAAUGAAAUCAAAAAUCAUCCAUUCAGAAACACCCAUGAACAAAAUAGCGACAACAGUAAGUUUAUUGGGUGACCAUACAUGCUCUCAUCCACUGUGAAUUCCAAGGGUUUAGCCUCCAGUUCCUCACUACUACUGACUUCAUCCAUGACCUUUUCAACACUAUAUAAAUCACAAUAUGUAUAUAUAUGUAAUGCUAUCACGGAUUCAUCCACUCAAUCAUG
rnacentral:lncRNA from 1 species